CACGUAGUUAGCCGGUCCUUAUUCCCCACCUACCGUCAACCCGGAGAAAACCCCGGGCCUGCGUGAGUGGUAAAAGAGGUUUACAACCCGAAGGCCGUCAUCCCCCACGCGGCGUCGCUGCGUCAGGCUUUCGCCCAUUGCGCAAGAUUCCCCACUGCUGCCUCCCGCAGGAGUCUGGGCCGUGUCUCAGUCCCAGUGUGGCCGGUCGCCCUCUCAGGCCGGCUACCCGUAAUCGCCUUGGUAGGCCUUUACCCCACCAACAAGCUGAUAGGCCGCGAGCCCAUCCCUGACCGAAAAAACUUUCCACCCUCGGGCAUGCACCCGGGGGUCGUAUCCGGUAUUAGACGGCGUUUCCACCGCUUAUCCCGGAGUCAGGGGCAGGUUGCUCACGUGUUACUCACCCGUUCGCCGCUCGUGUACCCCGAAGGGCCUUACCGCUCGACUUGCAUGUGUUAAGCACGCCGCCAGCGUCGUCCUCGAGCCACGGAGUCAACUAC
rnacentral:rRNA from 1 species